CACGAACCGUACGAACGUUAUUCGGAAUUACUGGGCUUAAAGGGUUUGUAGGCGGCCUUGUAAGUCAGGUGUGAAAGCCCUCGGCUCAACCGAGGAACAGCGCUUGAUACUGCAAGGCUUGAGGGAGACAGGGGUAAGCGGAACUGAUGGUGGAGCGGUGAAAUGCGUUGAUAUCAUCAGGAACACCGGUGGCGAAAGCGGCUUACUGGGUCUCUUCUGACGCUGAGGUGCGAAAGCGUGGGGAGCAAACAGGG
rnacentral:rRNA from 1 species